UCACCGCUUGCGCGGGCAGUUUUCUUAGAGUCCCCAGCAUGACCUGAUGGUAACUAAGAAUAGGGGUUGCGCUCGUUGCUGGACUUAACCAAACACCUCACGGCACGAGCUGACGACAGCCAUGCAGCACCUUAACAGUAGUCGUAAGAAAGCUACCUUUCGGCAGCGGUCUACUGUCAUUUAAGCCUAGGUAAGGUUCCUCGCGUAUCAUCGAAUUAAACCACAUGCUCCUCCGCUUGUGCGGGCCCCCGUCAAUUCCUUUGAGUUUCAACCUUGCGGUCGUACUUCCCAGGUGGAUUACUUAACGCUUUUGCUUAGACGCGUACGAUAUAUUGCACACAUCGAGUAAUCAUCGUUUACGGCGUGGACUAC
rnacentral:misc_RNA from 1 species